rnacentral:rRNA from 1 species
CCCUUAGAUGUUCUGGGCUGCACGCGCGCUACACUGACGCACGCAACAGGUGCCUGCUCCGAGAGGACUGGGUAAUCAUUUGAGUGUGCGUCGUGAUGGGGAUAGAAUAUUGUAAUUAUUACUCUUCAACGAGGAAUUCCUAGUAAGCGCCAGUCAGCAGCUUGCGCUGAUUACGUCCCUGCCCUUUGUACACACCGCCCGUCGCACCUACCGAUUGAAUGACUCGGUGAAAAAUUGGGACCGUGAGUCUGUUUGCUUCAUUGCGAGUGGAUUGAUGAGAACUUUUUUAAACCUCGCCAUUUAGAGGAAGGUGAAGUCGUAACA